UGAUCUUGGCUGUGAUGAAGAUUUGUGA
rnacentral:piRNA from 1 species